rnacentral:rRNA from 1 species
AAAUUGAAGGGUUUGAUCAUGGCUCAGAUUGAACGCUGGCGGCAGGCCUAACACAUGCAAGUCGAACGGUAACAGAAAGCAGCUUGCUGCUUUGCUGACGAGUGGCGGACGGGUGAGUAA